ACCUGGGUGGCUCAGUCAGUUAAGCUUUUGACUUUGACUCAGAUCAUGAUCUCAUGGUUCGUGGGUUUGAGUCCUGCUUCAGAUG
rnacentral:tRNA from 1 species